GACGAACGCUGGCGGCGUGCUUAAUACAUGCAAGUCAACUGAACUUGAGGUAGUAAUAUUUCAAGGGAGGUGGCGCACGGGUGAGUAACACGUAGGUAAUCUGCCUUUAGGUCUGACAUAAUCCCGCGAAAGCGGGACUAAAAUCAGAUGAUGCAGCGGCUCGACAUCGAGACAGUUGUUAAACCUUCGGGGCCGUAAAGAAUGAGCCUGCGUCUGAUUAGGUAGUUGGCGGAGUAAAAGACCCACCAAGACCUGCGAUCAGUAGCUGGUCUGAGAGGAUGAUCAGCCACACUGGAAC
rnacentral:rRNA from 1 species